rnacentral:lncRNA from 1 species
UUUUUUUUUUUUUUUUGAUCUGUGAUCUCUGGAUUUUCAAGCAGUGAUUUGUAGAAAGCAUGCUGAGCAGCCCGAAUGCCACCCCAGGCACUGCUCAGAAAGGAUCACCAAACUUCAGCAGCCAUUAGAUCAAAGCAGAAACCAAAACAGAAAGACUGGCUGGUGGGGAAACGCUGACCUUUCUGUGUGCUGGCUCCAAGCGCAUAUGGAUUGUCCUUCCUGCCUGGGAGAAUCAUUUCCUAAGUCAAUUGGCUUUCACUGAAGAAAUGUCAGCAUUAUGAUCAAAAGCUCCAUGAACCUUCCUGAACGUCCAAUGGCAAGGGCGAGGGGGCUUCCCUUGGGUGUUGCCUGAAUAAGCCAAAUAGUGUACUGGUUGGAAUAAAUUUUGCAGUUGUUUGUGUUUAUGUUGCUUGAACUUGAAGAUGGCUAGUGGUUUUCCAAUUCUGUGAACUCUUGUCUUCUGCUGGGCAAAGUUCUAUGUGUACCUCUGAUUCUCAUUUCUGCAUUAUGCCCUAUAGUUACCAAGUGGUAUAACAGAAGUUGCUAUUAUAUGUCCUACCUAGGUGAUGCCGUGGAAGGAGUGUUUCUGAUUUCUUGUUUGGUGUGGAAUGAGGGAUUCCAGUGAACCAAGGUUGUUGGGCAGUGCCUUGUGGGUUGCAUUAACAAUCAGAUAAAGAAUUGGUCACAAACUGCCUGUCACCACAAUCUGUAAGCUAUGUGAACUCCUGAGUAGACAAUACUUUCUACCAUGCGAAUUAUUGACAGGAUCAUGGGUUAGGCAUGGCUAUGAUUACAGAGCCUCUGCUGUACCAGGUAAUGUGAUAGAGUAGCUAUCCUAAAGCAGCUUAAGAGCCAAGUAAUAUUUCUACAUUUUACCACAUGAAUAAAAUCAUGUCUCCAGGAUCAAACACCUAAGUGGCAAAGCUGCAAUUUGAACCUAGAUCUCCCAACACCAGAACCUCCUCUCUCUCCAUGAUUCAAUGCCGCUUUAGUGGAAAAUGAGGAAGUGAUAAAAGUGGCCUACCAUAAAUACACAGAAGCACCAUUUUCGAGAGGGGAUUUCUAAUAGCACACUCAAUCUACCUAUGUAACUGCUGGCUCUAAAUAGAGUUAAGUAAAUCCUUUUAAUGGAAUAAGAUGCUCAAGGGAGAUAGCAUUAACAUAUAAGAUGCUUAUCAUUCGUUCCCCACAUUCCAAACAGAAGCAAGAGAUGGUUUGAUAAAUGAAUUGAACAAUAGAGUCAUUUCACUGUUGCUUCCAGAAAUACCUUUUAAAAACAGUGAGAAGAAGUUUGGUGUUAUCGCAAAAUUUCCCCAUCAAGGAUUGAAAGUUAUUUUUUUCAUUCACAUGCACUUUACACGUUUAACUUCUUUUUCUUUUCUUUUUUUGAAUCGGCAUUCACAGUUUUUAUUAUUAAAGUAUAAUUGAUUUACAGUAUUGUGUCAAUUUCUGCUGUACAGAAUAUUUACUCGGUCAUACAUAUACAUACAUUCUUUUUCUCAUACUAUCUUCCAUCAUGUUCUAGCCAAGAGACUGGAUAUGGUUCCCUGUGCUGUACAGUAGGGCCUCAUUGCUUAUCCAUUUUAAAUGGAAUAGUUUGCAUCUAUCAACCCCAAACUCCCCAUCCAUCCCACUCCCUCCCCCCUCCCCCUUGGCAACCACAAGUCUGUUCAACUUCUUUUUCUUUGUGGAAAGCAUUUGUGUCUACAGCCAUUAAAAAAAAAAAAAAAUGGCAAGACGGUACAUUCACCUUCAGCAAUCGGUACUGCUGACAAAGGAGGAUCCAAGUUAAAAACAAAAUGAUUCUUAAGUGGCAUUAGAAUAUGGUAUUCUUCCCUUUUUCUUGUUGUUCUUUAUACUUUAAAUUUGGCUUUGCAGCAAAUAAAGAUUUCGUGCUUCACUUGGCUUGGCCACCUGAAAGAGUCCAAUAAAAGAUCCACUAGGGAAUUUUUGAAAAGAAAGAAUGCAGUGGAGCAACAAAAGAGACGUUCAAAGACAUACACACAGAACACUCACACCCAGCACACAAAUGCAUAUACGCAGGCACACCCCCUCACACACACACACUCAAACCCACCACACACAUGCACGCACCCAAGCCAGUUAAAGUAAAUGUGCAAAAAACCUAAUCAGAGCUGACAUUUAUUAAGGGACUAAGAUAUGCCUUCCAUGGUGCUAGGCAAUCCAGCCCGUGAAAGCGUUAGCCUCUUUCUUUCUCAAGAGGGCGGGGCUGUGAUUACCACCAUUUCUCAGAAGAGGAAGUGAGAGCAGAGAAAUACAGUACAAAGGAAGAGAUCUGUGCUGCUCUGAACUGUACUCAAACUAUGCACAUCAUCUAAAAAUUUACAAGCAUUUCAGCUUAAAUCUCUUACUCUGGCAUUUUUUUCCUUCUACCAUACAGCCCUGCAGAACUCUGUUCAGUGAGCAAAUUGUGAUGCAGAUCCGUGUGCUGAGAAUAAGCUUUCUGGACUGGGUGCCCUGACUUUGUGUGUGUGUGUGUGUGUGUGUGUGUGUGUGUGUGUGUGUGUUUGCCAUUUCUUGGGCCGCUUCUGCGGCAUAUGGAGGUUCCCAGGCUAGGGGUCAAAUCGGAGCUGUGGCCACGGGCCUAUGCCAGAGCCACAGCCAUGCGGGAUCCGAGCCACAUCUGCAACCUACACCACAGCUCACGGCAAUGCCAGAUCCUUAACCCACUGAGCAAGGCCAGGAUCAAACCCGCAACCUCAUGGUUCCUAGUCGGAUUGGUUAACCACUGCGCCAUGACGGGAACUCCUGGGUGCCCUGACUUUAAGUCUCAGCAGCAACUCCCUGGAUGGUGCGCCAGUGAAACAGCUGCCCCACCUCUGAGUCUCUCUCCAUUCCCAGUUGGUCCCCUGCACUCCUCCGGGAACACUUCCCCAAACACAGACCGCGUUACGUCACUGUCCUGCUGCAAAAUCCCUGCAAGGAGGUGGUCGGGCCUCAAAUCUUGAGCUUAGCUCCAAAGGCCUUUCACACACAUAAUACACAUAAUUCCCCCUCUGGAUCUUUUGUAUUUCCCAUUCCCAUUUCCUGUCUAUAUCUAGAAAAUCUCUCUUUCAUUCGAGACCUGGUUCACAGGUCACCCCCUUUCCAGGGCCCUGCCCAGCUCGCUGCCGUGCACUUUAUGUCAGCAUUGAGUGUCACGUGCUGACUGUGUUUAUUCACAUCUCGGCACAUUAGACUUUCAGCUACUUGCGAGAACCGCCUGCCCCCUUGUUUCCCAAGCAAUGGGCGCAAAGACUGGGGUGGAUUCAAUCUUCAAAAUGCAAGUUUGUUUGGUAUUUUUUAGCGAUUGAACACAUGAGUGAAUGUCUUCACCCUGCUGUGGUCUCAUUUCUCUCCAGCCCUCUCCUUGCAGCUGUGUGUCGUGUUUGCUGGGAGGUGACCUUUUAUUCAAGGUUCUUUUCAGGGUCCGUGCAUCUGGCCAGGCAGUUCUUUUCAAACAUCUUGCUAUUUUCCCCUCUCAAAAUGUUCUUGGUUUAUCCGCUCAUCUCUGAACAAAGCUAUUUACGAGGCAGUGUUCCUGGUCGUUUGGCAGGGGGGCCUGCUCUCAGGGCUUUCCUCAAUUGAUUUGACCCAUUUUUUCACACAUACGAUUAGAAAACUGCUUCGGAUGUGAUUUCUCUUGAACAAAAGCCGCACCUAACAUUUAGAGGGGCUCAAAUAUUGACUCUCUCUCUUCCAUGCUUCAUUUACAGAGUUAAAUAGAAACUGGGAGUUAGGAGGACUCCAAAUUUACAUUCCUGAAUACUUAGGAAUGUAAUAGUCUUUGCUGGUUAUCAAGCAAAGACAACAGAGAGCCUGCCUGGCCCAGAGGCUGAGCUGCAACCUGGGAUCCCACUCUGCACCUGCAGAACAGAAGUUCAGAUUCAUGCUGUGUGGAGUUCCCAUUGCAGCUCAGCAGUCAACGAACCCAUCUAGUAUCCAUGAGGAUGUGGGUUCCAUCCCUGGCCUCGCUCCAUGGGUUAAGGAUCUGGUGUUGCCACAAGCUACAGUGGGAUCUGUUGUGGCUGUGGCUGUGGCAUAAGCCCAGGAACUUCCACAGCCUGCAGGUGUGGC